UACGUAGGUGGCAAGCGUUAUCCGGAAUUAUUGGGCGUAAAGCGCGCGCAGGCGGUUUCUUAAGUCUGAUGUGAAAGCCCACGGCUCAACCGUGGAGGGUCAUUGGAAACUGGGGAACUUGAGUGCAGAAGAGAAAAGCGGAAUUCCACGUGUAGCGGUGAAAUGCGUAGAGAUGUGGAGGAACACCAGUGGCGAAGGCGGCUUUUGGUCUGUAACUGACGCUUGAGGCGCGAAAGCGUGGGGAGCAAACAGG
rnacentral:rRNA from 1 species